GCUUCACUAGACUGUGCUGUUUUACAUUUUCCUUUGUUUGUCAGAAAGUAUGCUGAGCAUGCUGUGUUUUUGUCUCGUUUCCUCAGCGUGUUCUCGAGGCGUGACGACCAGCAGAUGGAGCCAAAGACCACACAAACGCACACUGGCGGCUUCUAUGGAACAUUCACCGAGAGGUGGGUCUGGACCAUCCCCUGUGAUAAAUGGAGUUCACUGUAUUGAAAUCUGCUUGCUGCCACUUCAACCAUAUUCUACUGAGCAGCCAGGACAGAGAAAGACAGAAAUAGAGGGUCCCAAAAUGAAAUUUUGCCUCUGGCUCCAUGGAGGCGUGUGCCAGCUCUAAAAGUGUGUCUCAACGGAAUUCCCGGUGGCAACGCUGGUGCGGCUUACAGAUGAAAGAUGCAUUUCAAUAAAAC